UGACUCCUAUGUUGCUUUUACCAAAUGUUCGAAGCUGGUUACACUUCUGCACCCUAUUAGCGAUACGCUGGCACGAGUGCUGUACGAUAUGCACUUUUAUGAAGAUUCUGAGGUUGAAGAGGUUAAGCAAAAGGGGCUGAAGAUGUCGACGUUUACGCCAUUCUCAGUUUGCAGCAUUGCAGAUGUGCCACAACAACGAGAUGGUACGUCUUGCGGAAUCAUGACCGUCAAAUUCAUCGAGCAUCUCAGUGCUGGGAUUUCGGUAGAUAAAGUUGACCCUUUGAAGAUCAAAUAUUACCGACUGAAGCUUGCAAUUGAGGGUUUAAGGGGGGAGGCAUAUUUAUGAGGAACUCCUUUAUAUGAAGAUGCAGACGUAGAUGCUUUGCUGGGGGUACUUUAUAUGGUCAUCCUGCCUUUUUGCUAGAGCUAGUUGGUUUAGUUAUUAUUGUGAGGUGUAAUAUUGUACAGUCUAGAAGCAGUGG